CUUAACCUGGGAAUUGCAGUUGAUACUGGCAAGCUAGAGUGUAGUAGAGGGAAGCGGAAUUCCAGGUGUAGCGGUGAAAUGCGUAGAUAUCUAGAGGAACACCAGUGGCGAAGGCGGCUUCCUGGACUAACACUGACACUGAGGUGCGAAAGCGUGGGUAGCAAACAGGAUUAGAUACCCUGGUAGUCCACGCCCUAAACGAUGAGAACUAGCCGUUGGAGGAAUUUUAAUUCUUUAGUGGCGCAGCUAACGCGUUAAGUUCUCCGCCUGGGGAGUACGGCCGCAAGGUUAAAACUCAAAGGAAUUGACGGGGGCCCGCACAAGCGGUGGAGCAUGUGGUUUAAUUCGAUGCAACGCGAAGAACCUUACCUGGUCUUGACAUCUAGCGAACUUUCCAGAAAUGGAUUGGUGCCUUCGGGAACGC
rnacentral:rRNA from 1 species